AUACGGAGGAUGCAAGCGUUAUCCGGAUUUAUUGGGUUUAAAGGGUGCGUAGGCGGUUUGCUAAGCGGGAGGUGAAAUGCCGGCGCUCAACGUCGGAAGUGCCUCCCGAACUGGUGGACUUGAAUGACUCUGCCGUGGGAGGAAUGUGUAGUGUAGCGGUGAAAUGCUUAGAGAUUACACAGAACACCGAUUGCGAAGGCAUCUCACGAAGGGUUGAUUGACGCUGAGGCACGAAAGCGUGGGGAUCAAACAGGAUUAGAUACCCUGGUAGUCCACGCAGUAAACGAUGAUGGCUAACCGCUGGUUUUUUCGGAUCAGUGGCCAAGCGAAAGCGAUAAGCCAUCCACCUGGGGAGUACGACCGCAAGGUUGAAACUCAAAUGAAUUGGCGGGG
rnacentral:rRNA from 1 species